rnacentral:rRNA from 1 species
GAUGAACGCUGGCGGCGUGCCUAAUACAUGCAAGUCGAGCGAACAGAUGAGGAGCUUGCUCCUCUUACGUGAGCGGCGGACGGGUGAGUAACACGUGGAUAACCUACCUAUAAGACUGGGAUAACUUCGGGAAACCGGAGCUAAUACCGGAUAAUAUAGUAAACCGCAUGGUUCAAUAGUGAAAGACGGUAUUGCUGUAACUUAUAAAGGGAUCCGCGCCUAAUUAGCUAUUGGUUAAGGUAACGGCUUACUAAGGCGACGAUGCGAAGCCAACCUGAGAGGGUGAUCGGCAACACUGGACCUGAGCCACGGUCCAGACGCCUACGGGAGGAAGAAGAAGGAAACCUCGCCAAAUGGGCGAAAGCCUGACGGAGCACGGCCGCGUAAGUGAUGAAGUUCUUGGGUUCGUAAAACUCUGUUAUUAGGAAAAACCAAAUUUGUAAGUAAAUAUGCACGUCUUGACGGUACCUAAUCAGAAAGCGACGGCUAACUACGUG